rnacentral:rRNA from 1 species
GUGCCAGCCGCCGCGGUAAUACCGGCAGCUCAAGUGAUGUCCCAUAUUAUUGGGCCUAAAGCGUCCGUAGCUGGCCGACCAAGUCUCCCGGGAAAUCCACCCGCUUAACGGGUGGGCGUCCGGCGGAGACUGCUCGGCUUGGGACCGGAGGACCCGAGGGGUACGUCCGGGGUAGGAGUGAAAUCCCGUAAUCCCGGACGGACCGCCGGUGGCGAAAGCGCCUCGGGAGGACGGAUCCGACGGUGAGGGACGAAAGCUAGGGUCUCGAACCGGAUUAGAUACCCCAGUAGUCC